GUGCCAGCAGCCGCGGUAAUUCCAGCUCCAAUAGCGUAUAUUAAAGUUGUUGCGGUUAAAAAGCUCGUAGUCGGACUUGUGUCCCACGCUGCCGGUUCACCGCCCGUCGGUGUCCAACUGGCAUGCACGUGCGGACGUCCUGCCGGUGGCCCGAGCCGGCUCGGGAGGGGCUCCCUCUCCCGGGUUUCGGGGAAGGCCUGUCACACCCGUCCAGGUGCUCUUAGCCGAGUGUCUCGAUGGGCCGGCAAGUUUACUUUGAACAAAUUAGAGUGCUUAAAGCAGGCAGCACACGCCUGAAUACCGAGUGCAUGGAAUAAUGGAAUAGGACCUCGGUUCUAUUUUGUUGGUUUUCGGAAGCCCCGAGGUAAUGAUCAAUAGGGACAGACGGGGGCAUUCGUAUUGCGACGUUAGAGGUGAAAUUCUUGGAUCGUCGCAAGACGGACCAAAGCGAAAGCAUUUGCCAAGAAUGUUUUCUCUGAUCAAGAACGAAAGUUAGAGGUUCGAAGGCGAUCAGAUACCGCCCUAGUUCUAACCAUAAACGAUGCCAGCCAGCAAUCCGCCGAAGUUCCUCCGAUGACUCGGCGGGCGGCCUCCGGGAAACCAAAGCUUUUGGGUUCCGGGGGAAGUAUGGUUGCAAAGCUGAAACUUAAAGGAAUUGACGGAAGGGCACCACCAGGAGUGGAGCCUGCGGCUUAAUUUGACUCAACACGGGAAACCUCACCAGGCCCGGACACCGGGAGGAUUGACAGAUUGAGAGCUCUUUCUCGAUUCGGUGGGUGGUGGUGCAUGGCCGUUCUUAGUUGGUGGAGCGAUUUGUCUGGUUAAUUCCGAUAACGAACGAGACUCUGGCCUACUAACUAGUCGCUUCCGGCAUCCUCCGAGCUGCCGGCGACAAACGAUCUUCUUAGAGGGACAGGCGGCUCCUAGCCGCACGAGAUUGAGCAAUAACAGGUCUGUGAUGCCCUUAGAUGUUCUGGGCCGCACGCGCGCUACACUGAAGGAAUCAGCGUGUCCUCCCUGGCCGAGAGGCCCGGGUAACCCGCUGAACCUCCUUCGUGCUAGGGAUUGGGGCUUGCAAUUGUUCCCCAUGAACGAGGAAUUCCCAGUAAGCGCGGGUCAUAAGCUCGCGUUGAUUACGUCCCUGCCCUUUGUACACACCGCCCGUCGCUACUACCGAUUGAAUGAUUUAGUGAGGUCUUCGGACCGGUGGGCGAGGGGGUCCGCCUCCUCGAUUCCGCCGGGAAGAUGCCCAAACUUGAUCAUUUAGAGG
rnacentral:rRNA from 1 species